ACACACACACACACACACACACACACACACACACACACACUCACACACCCAAAAACAUCUACAAACAACAACAAUAAAACCAAAAAUACAGACCAGGGGUCUAAGUACCUAGCAGUGAGAUGUGGGAAGACAAUUGAAAAAAAAAAAAAGCAUAAACUCUCCCUGUUAAAAAUAAACUAUAGGGAUUUAGCUCAGUGGAAGAGUUCUUGCCUAGUAAGCACAAGGCCCUGGGUUCGGUCCCCAGCUCCGAAAAAAAGAAAAGAAAA
rnacentral:lncRNA from 1 species